UCGUGGAUUGAUUUGUCUGGUUAAUUCCGAUAACGAACGAGACCUUAAUCUGCUAAUUAGUUGGGCAAAGUCUAACUUUGUUUCUUUCCAACUUCUUAGAGAGACAGCUGGCGUUUAGCCAAAGGAAGUUUGAGGCAAUAACA
rnacentral:rRNA from 1 species